rnacentral:rRNA from 1 species
AACGAACGCUGGCGGCGUGCCUAACACAUGCAAGUCGAACGGAACCGCCGUGCUUUUUUGCGGUGCUGGAGGGGCGAACGGGUAAGUAACACGUAAGUAACCUGUCCUUCACUUUGGGGUGACUUAAGGAAAGUGGAGCUAAUCCCAGAUAGGAUCUCUCGCUGCUGGGUGGGCGUGGGAUAGUUUCGGCGGUUGGGGAUGGACUGGCGGAUUAUCGGCUUGUUGGGUGGGUAGUGGCAUACCAAGGCCUGGAACGGUAGCCGGCCUGAGAGGGUGACCGGCCCCAUUAGGACUGAGAUACGACCCAGACUCGUACGGGAGGCAACGGUGGGGAAUAUUAUACAGGAGGCGGGAGCCUGGUGCGACAACGCCGCGUGCGGGAUGACGGCCUGCGGGUAGUGAAGCGCAGUCGCCUGAGACGAGGCGUGAGUGACGGUAACGGGUGAAUAAGCACCGGCUAACUACGUG